GGGAGCAAUCCUGGCGGCGAGUGGCGAACGGGUGAGUAAUACAUCGGAACGUGCCCAAUCGUGGGGGAUAACGCAGCGAAAGCUGUGCUAAUACCGCAUACGAUCUACGGAUGAAAGCAGGGGAUCGCAAGACCUUGCGCGAAUGGAGCGGCCGAUGGCAGAUUAGGUAGUUGGUGAGGUAAAGGCUCACCAAGCCUUCGAUCUGUAGCUGGUCUGAGAGGACGACCAGCCACACUGGGACUGAGACACGGCCCAGACUCCUACGGGAGGCAGCAGUGGGGAAUUUUGGACAAUGGGCGCAAGCCUGAUCCAGCCAUGCCGCGUGCAGGAUGAAGGCCUUCGGGUUGUAAACUGCUUUUGUACGGAACGAAAAGUCUCUUUCUAAUAAAGAGGGAUCAUGACGGUACCGUAAGAAUAAGCACCGGCUAACUACGUGCCAGCAGCCGCGGUAAUACGUAGGGUGCAAGCGUUAAUCGGAAUUACUGGGCGUAAAGCGUGCGCAGGCGGUUAUGUAAGACAGUUGUGAAAUCCCCGGGCUCAACCUGGGAACUGCAUCUGUGACUGCAUAGCUAGAGUACGGUAGAGGGGGAUGGAAUUCCGCGUGUAGCAGUGAAAUGCGUAGAUAUGCGGAGGAACACCGAUGGCGAAGGCAAUCCCCUGGACCUGUACUGACGCUCAUGCACGAAAGCGUGGGGAGCAAACAGGAUUAGAUACCCUGGUAGUCCACGCCCUAAACGAUGUCAACUGGUUGUUGGGUCUU
rnacentral:rRNA from 1 species